rnacentral:rRNA from 1 species
AUGCAGUCUGUUGAGGAUUCUACUAGACCACACAAUAUGGCUGAUGAAGAAGAGGCAUUCAUGGGAACAGCUAGUGAACCCAAAACACCAAAUGCUAAGGGCCCAAUGGUAGGCCCAUCUUCCAGCAAAAGAAAAAGAGACGAACCAAAUUCAAAUGAGAAAAAAGCAGAUGCUCAAAAGAAAAGGAAAGGUCACUACAAAAAAUACACUUCCGUGAUGAUACGUGUUUGUCACAGUAUGUCACAUUUUCUAUCAUGCAUGUACAUCCAUGACGAUUUUGUGACAGAAUCAAGAUGGUCAUACCUGUGCUAUAGUAGAAGUGUACCAUGA